rfam:Candidatus Buchananbacteria bacterium RIFCSPLOWO2_01_FTLL_40_23b rifcsplowo2_01_scaffold_1017, whole genome shotgun sequence.
GGAGAGGUGGCUGAGUGGUCUAAAGCGCCUCACUGCUAACGAGGUGGCCCUUAACCGGGCUCGCGAGUUCGAAUCUCGCCCUCUCCG